AUACGGAGGGUGCAAGCGUUACUCGGAAUAACUGGGCGUAAAGCGCGCGCAGGCGGCUAUUUAAGUUGGAUGUGAAAGCCUACGGCUCAACCGUAGAACUGCAUCCAAAACUAUUUAGCUAGAGUGUGGGAGAGGAAGAUGGAAUUAGUUGUGUAGGGGUAAAAUCCGUAGAGAUAACUAGGAAUACCAAAAGCGAAGGCAAUCUUCUGGAACACUACUGACGCUGAGGCGCGAAAGCGUGGGGAGCAAACGGGAUUAGAAACCCCAGUAGUCC
rnacentral:rRNA from 1 species